GUUUGAUCAUGGCUCAGGACGAACGCUGGCGGCGUGCCUAACACAUGCAAGUCGAACGGAAUUGGGGGCAACUCCAGUUCAGUGGCGAACGGGUGCGUAACACGUGAGCAACCUGCCCUUCGGUGGGGGAUAGCCGGCCUAACGGCCGGGUAAUACCGCGUACCGCCCCGGGACCGCAUGGUUCUGGGGUCAAAGCCGCAAGGCGCCGGGGGAGGGGCUCGCGCCCUAUCAGCUAGUUGGUGAGGUAACGGCUCACCAAGGCGACGACGGGUAGCUGGUCUGAGAGGAUGGCCAGCCACAUUGGGACUGAGAGACGGCCCAGACUCCUACGGGAGGCAGCAGUGGGGAAUCUUGCGCAAUGGGCGAAAGCCUGACGCAGCGACGCCGCGUGCGGGAGGACGGCCUUCGGGUCGUAAACCGCUGUUGCCCGGGACGAAUGCCCCUUUCGAGGGGAGUGACGGUACCGGGUGAGGAAGCACCGGCUAACUCCGUGCCAGCAGCCGCGGUAAUACGGAGGGUGCGAGCGUUGUCCGGAAUCACUGGGCGUAAAGGGCGCGUAGGCGGCGCGACAAGGCGGCGGUGAAAGUCCGGGGCUCAACCCCGGAUCGGCCGUGGCGACUGUCGCGCUGGAGCACAGUAGAGGCGGGUGGAAUUCCGGGUGUAGCGGUGGAAUGCGUAGAGAUCCGGAAGAACACCGGUGGCGAAGGCGGCCCGCUGGGCUGUGGCUGACGCUGAGGCGCGACAGCGUGGGGAGCAAACAGGAUUAGAUACCCUGGUAGUCCACGCCGUAAACGAUGGGCACUAGGUGCUUGGGGGAGCGACCCCCUGAGUGCCGGCGCUAACGCAUUAAGUGCCCCGCCUGGGGAGUACGG
rnacentral:rRNA from 1 species